GAAUCAUUCAAAGUUCUAAACUUUUAUUCUAAAUUCCACAGAGUUGAUGGUUUUCAGCACAUUGCCAGUCUGUCAUUGUUAAAUCAUGGAUUUGGAAUUUUCGUUAUCUCAUGCAUCACAUAAAAACAAAGCAAUCUCUGAUUGGUCACUGAACAUGUCAAUCUUCCUACAUGUCGAAGUCUCUUCCUGACUGGUUCUUUGCCAGAAUAUACAGACAAUACUUACGCUAGUCAAAACUCUUUCUUCAUAUCACUAGUUCUUCCACAUCCCUCUUUUUUCCCUCAGCUAGUCUCCUUUAGUGUGACCUUGUGGCCAGUGCUGUGGUGGGCUCACCGUGACACUUCCAUGCUGCUGGGUGUCAGCGCUGAUGAUGGUUGGCCUUCAGUCCCAGAUGGCUCCCAUAUGUUUGAACACACUUCCAGAGUCUGUGAUUGAUCCCUUCGGCGCUAAACACCCUCACGGUAACGCGUGUCAGAGCGGACUGGUGCCAGCGCUGGUUCGAGCCCCUCUGCCCACUGUGUCACCCUCUCUGGGCAUGAAGCACUUCCUUCCCUUCCCUCUAGACGGCGGCUCCACGCUCAGCCUCAUUCCCAGCUUCAGCAGCAUGGAUCCAGUUCAGAAAGCUGUUUUGCAUCACACGUUCAGCGCUUCAGCCUCCUCUAAAAGGAAAGCUGUCUCGUGCGGCGUGUGCCAGCUGAGGUUUAACUCGCAGAGCCAGGCCUCGGCACACUACAAAGGCACCAAACACGCCAAGAAGAUGAAGUCCUUGGACGCCCCGAAAUGCCUCAAACAAAAGAGCUCCCUGGUCACCAGGGAAAAUACCAACAAGGAGCCGCCUAGAGGACUCUCUCCCUCCAUAGCGGCCAGCAACACUGACCAACAAGGUGGGAGUCCUGGUGCACCUGUGGCCCCUUCAUCACCCUCUUCUGCCCCGGGGUCCGGCCCCAGCGUGGAGCCCACAGAGCCAGAGUCUACCUCAGUGUCAGGAGGAGAGGACGGCCGCUCCAUCACGCCCAGCCCGCCUGAACCAGAGGAGAACGACCCCGCUGUAGUCAGUCCAGAGACGGAGGAUGAGAAAGCACUGCGUCUGCUCUACUGCUCCCUCUGUAAGGUGGCCGUCAACUCUGCGUCACAGCUAGACGCACAUAACAGUGGCACCAAACACAAAACCAUGCUGGAGGCUCGGAGUGGGAUCGGCUCCAUCAAAUCGUUCCCCAGGGCCGGGGUGAAGAGCAAGCUGACCGCCCCCACUAAAGCAGACACGGGCCUGCAGAACAAGACAUUCCACUGUGAAACCUGCGACGUGCACGUCAAUUCAGAGACGCAGCUCAAGCAGCAUAUCAGCAGCAGACGCCAUAAAGACAGAGCUGCGGGGAAACCAGCCAAACCCAAGUACAGUCCUUACACCAAAACCCAAAGAGGAGCCCCCAAACAGACACAGGUGAAGAUGCCGGCAGGUAAAGAGCUGUGUCCACCGCUGACCACCAGGAUAAUGCCGUCACACCUUGCAGCUGUCGCUGCUGCAGCCGCCGCCAUUGGCUCCGCCUUCCCGCUGCGUGCCUGCCAUAACCCCGCCCUCUUUCAGACUCAGUCCCUCCCCGCCGCGCUGCUCCGCCCUGCACCGGGGCCAAUUAGGACUGCUCACACGCCUGUACUGUUUGCCCCUUAUUGACCUUUGAACUAUGACCUCUGGGGGAUCGGAUCAUUAACCCUUCCAUCUCCCCAUACCAAGAUCCAAUGCGCGAUAUCGCAAUAAUUUAAAGACAAAAAACGAACCAGAGUACAAGAUUGAUUUGUAAAUUUAAGGUGAGUUUGAGAACACUAUGUGGGAAAUGAAAAGUUGUAUUUCUCUGCUGUUUUGCACUUUAAGUCUAUCUGUGGUUGAUUUCAGUGCUUUAGAUGUCUAGUUCUCUCUGUUUCCAGCUGUUGGUGUAAAAGCUCAGCAGGGCUUCAUUUGUCAAUGGACCCGCUUCACAUUUCCGUGGAUCUCAGAAACGGUCACCAUAGACUUCUAUAGUUGUGAAUGGAAACUACAACAAAUAUUAUUUUUGGGUUCCCAUUAGCUUCAGUAGAAGAAAAGCAUUUCUAUGACUUCAAAAAAAGAGGAAGAAAUAUCUAUAUAUAAUAUCAACAAAAUCCUAUCAAAAUCAUAAUCAAUUACGCUGGUCAGAAAACAAAUUUGUCAUCACUCCCUCAAAAAAAAAAAAUACUUUGAAACUUUUUUCACUCUGAAAAUUUCUGUUUAUUUUCCAAAAUUAAGAAUUUAUUAUUAAUCAUACAUUCAUUCCAAAAAAUUAUAAUUGUAAUCGUUGUCUAUUCUUAAAAUUUAAUUAAUAAAACAUUUGUCAUCACUUCCUCAAUAAGUUUACUUUGUAAUAAUUUGCACUCAGAAAUUUCAGGCAAUUUUACAAAUAAAGAAACAUCAGUUACCACAUUUAAUUAAAUGAAAGAUUUCCACCUAAAACUUAAAUGCAGAGGCAAAAAAAAAGAAAAAAAAAAAGCAAGGUAUAGUAUUAUAAAUAUUCAUGAAAAUAGUACAAAAAAACUUGCUAGUUUUACAGUGUUAAUAACUCUGGAAGUGCAUCUGUGAAAAAGGUCCAUUAAGACAUAAUGGAAUAAUUUAUUGGUGGUGGAUCUGGCAGGUUUGGGACACUAACUGUGCAUUUUUUAUACAGUUAAAACUUAGUUUCAGAUAAUAACAGAAAAUGUCAUGUGACUGAUCAUGCUCAAGAUUGUCAUGUUAAUUCUGAUGUUGAUGUUAGGAAUGUUAAGGCUGCUGACAUCAAAGACGGAUAAAUAAAAGUUAAUUACACGGAUUUAAGUGUUUGCAUCCCAAUUCCAGAUCCAGAUCCAGCUUUUCCAAUAGAAAUGAAGCCCUGCUGAACCUGCUUGUGAAUGUGUGUGUGUGUGUGUGUGUGUGUACAGCAGAACUUGGGGAAGAUAAGAGGGUGAUUUCCAAAGUAAAAUGCUGCUGAUUUAUGUCAAAGCAAGGUUAAAAAUAUAGUGGGAUGUUUGCUAAACAGAUGAAUAUGUAAAUGUGCAGGAGUGUGUUUGCGUGUGUGGGUGUGUGUGUGGGGUGAGUUAACCGUCUUUUCACCUGAAGUCGUCCCUGGAAACAUCUCAUGAAUAUUACAUGAGCUACUGGGGCCACAAAGCUUGUCUGUCUCUUCUUGCAAUGUGAAAAACGAUAAACAUUUUCAAAUAAAGAAUACUGCUUUGUUUACUUGCUUGUUUAAAAAAAAAAAUAUAAUAAUCACUUAAAUAUGGAGAAUGUACACACACACACACACACACACACACACACUACCCUUCAAAAGUUAAAUUCCUAAUUUUGAACAAGGACACGUUACAUUAAGACACA